UUUGUAAGUGAAAGUUAGAUUUUAACUCCUUACGCGGUAUUCCAGUUAUCAGGGACCAAGCCAGGAUUUAAUUCUGGGGGAGGGCCAAAAAUAUAUUAUGCAAAAUAUAUUAAUAAAACAAACUAUAUAUAAUAAAAAUUUAAAGUACACAAAUACAAAAAAAAAAUUUUAAAAAUUUUACGUACCAUACAAAAAUUAGAAUAGUGCUCAGCGCUCCUUCAAGUCACGAAAUUCAUCAAUAAUUGAAUCAAUAGUAAACUUCUCGGCAAUUUCUCUUUCAAUAUACACGAUCAAAGAAUUAGUGAGAAAGUCAUCAUCCAUCUUAUUCCGAAGAUCGGUUUUGAUAAUACUCAUCGCGGAAAAUGCCCGUUCAGUUGUUGCAGUUGAAACUGGAAGAAGUAAUACAAGUUUAACUAAUCUGUAGAGAAGUGAAUAUAUUUCUGACUUUCUUGUUGCCACCAACCAUUGACAUAAUUCAGAAAUAGUUGUCAAUUACUUAAAUAGUUGAACAAACAACAACUAAUAAAUCAAGAGCGUACCAUACAAUGACAUAAAAGAAAAUAUUUAGUUAUUCACGAUUGACGGUUCACUCACCGAUCAGGCGGUCACCAAAAAAUUAUUCAAAAGAAGCUGAUAGUCCAGAAGGGUGUAGGCGUGUAGCCGUGUAGUUCGAGGCGCCGAGCGGCCCGAGCCCGAGCGGACGAGCGGCGAGGGGCGAGCACCACCGGCGGCCAGCGUUCGGCGGUCCGGCAAGCUAGAGAGAGAUUGAAAUUUGAGAUAAGUUAGAGAAAGAGAGAGCUCUGAGCCUGUGACUCUCGGAGGCUGGGAAAUGGGAAUGGAAGUGUGGAAAUGGGAGAGAGAGAAAGAAAGUGUGGAACUGAGAGAGAGAGAGAGAGAGAGAGAGAGAGAGAGAGAGAGAGAGAGUAUGGUUAAUUAGUGUGGAUUGACAGAUUGUGGUGCACUGGUGUGGGAGGAGGCGCCGAGGCGACUGGCGAGCGUCGGGCGAGCGGCGGGCGGCGCCUGGGGGUGGGCAUCAUGAUGCAUGCGUCAUGCUGCUCAUGCAUGAAGCGUGGCCCACAAGCAACUUUAGUGUUCAAAACAAUUGCAGUUUGGUCCCUAAAAAUUAUAAUAUUUUAAUUUUUUGAACAACUUAAGACUAAACCUUUUUGUAAUUUUAAAAAGUUUGGGGGGGCCAUGGCCAUUGUCGGCCUAUGCAUGGCCUCGUCCCUGCCAGUUAUGAU
rnacentral:lncRNA from 1 species